rnacentral:rRNA from 1 species
GUUAGGAAUAUUGGACAAUGGGCGAAAGCCUGAUCCAGCCAUGCCGCGUGAACGAUGAAGGCCUUCGGGUUGUAAAGUUCUUUAGCCGAUGAUUAUAAUGACUGUAGUCGGAAAAUAAGCCCCGGCUAACUUCGUGCCAGCAGCCGCGGUAAUACGAAGGGGGCGAGCGUUAUUCGGAAUCACUGGGCGUAAAGCGUGCGUAGGCGGUUUUGUAAGUUAGGAGUGAAAGCCCAGGGCUCAACCUUGGAAUUGCUCUUAAAACUGCAAGGCUCGAAUCUCGGAGAGGAUAGCGGAAUUUCCAGUGUAGCAGUGAAAUGCGUAGAUAUUGGAAGGAACACCAGUGGCGUAAGCGGCUAUCUGGACGAGUAUUGACGCUGAGGCACGAAAGCGUGGGGAUCAAACAGGAUUAGAUACCCGGGUAGUCC